ACAUUCAUCAAAUUUUCUCAAGAACUCUCUCAAGAGUUUCAAAAUAAAAACCCAAGUAGUUCAAGAUUCAACCGUAGGUUUUCGAAAUUUAUCGCAUAUUUAGAAUCCCCAGGUCGUAAGCUUCAAUAAGCACCUAUUGUCUUCCUAAUUCGAGAUAGAGAAGGGUGUUCCGGGCCUUCAUGGUUCGGGGUGCUCGUCACUGCUAGGGCCCCGGCUCGGGUCGUGACAUUCCCAUAACUUGAUCAUAAUGGAGCUCAAAUCCGUAGAGGAUUGCUUGAUGAAAAUCAGAAAGGGAAAUGUUGUUGUGGACAUGAUCUUUAAUAUCAGGCCAAGAGGUCAGGCCUACAAGUUGCACUCUGCAUCCAUCACUGACUUGUGAUGCAUUAGUGUAUCUGCUUAAUUUGCAGCCACCAAUUUCCUUUAAUGUCGAAGAAUUAUUAACAGCAAAUGGGCAGUUGAACAUGAAGAUGGGAUCUCCUAAUCUUCUCCAUGAUCGACUGAUGUCAUCGUAAUAAUAUGAAGUAAAAUCGAGUUUGCGGCCGUGUUGGUUGAAAGGAAGGUGAGAAGGUAUUAGAGAGCAUAAAUCAUCUCUUUGUAACGUUGGAUCCACCAGUCGAAUUGUGUGGUUAUGGUAGUUGAUGGCUUGCACAUACAACUUCUUGGAGAACAGCCAUAUAAAGGUUUUGUUACCUUCACAGACUAAUUCAGCUUAUGAGAAACUGCAAUGUUUUGGAUCGGAGUUCAAACGAAAAGGGUAGCUUAUGUCACGGAUAUGACCACAAGCAGAAGGAGGACAGUGGUGUUUGCUCUUCCUAGCAUUGCAUAUUUGAGGAAUGUGCAGAAAUAUGACCAUGAUUAUUGUAAAAUAUUUUAGCACAAUGGUUCCCCUACACAUUUUGAAAAGUGGGCAUCGGAAGAAUAGAAAGAUGAGGCCCCUAAAAACCUACACAAAUAACUUCACUGUGAACUAGAGAAAAAGCUACUAAGUUCGGCCGAACUUGUAUAUGUUCUACAAUUCAGGAUUAAGGAUAUCAAAUGUCAUCAAAUUUAAUCCAUGAAAA